rnacentral:rRNA from 1 species
UUGUGAGGUUAAGCGACUAAGCGUACACGGUGGAUGCCCUGGCAGUCAGAGGCGAUGAAGGACGUGCUAAUCUGCGAUAAGCGUCGGUGAGGUGAUAUGAACCGUUAUAACCGGCGAUUUCCGAAUGGGGAAACCCAGUGUGUUUCGACACACUAUCAUUAACUGAAUCCAUAGGUUAAUGAGGCGAACCGGGGGAACUGAAACAUCUAAGUACCCCGAGGAAAAGAAAUCAACCGAGAUUCCCCCAGUAGCGGCGAGCGAACGGGGAGGAGCCCAGAGCCUGAAUCAGUGUGUGUGUUAGUGGAAGCGUCUGGAAAGGCGCGCGAUACAGGGUGACAGCCCCGUACACAAAAAUGCACAUAUUGUGAGCUCGAUGAGUAGGGCGGGACACGUGGUAUCCUGUCUGAAUAUGGGGGGACCAUCCUCCAAGGCUAAAUACUCCUGACUGACCGAUAGUGAACCAGUACCGUGAGGGAAAGGCGAAAAGAACCCCGGCGAGGGGAGUGAAAAAGAACCUGAAACCGUGUACGUACAAGCAGUGGGAGCCUCUUAAUGGGGUGACUGCGUACCUUUUGUAUAAUGGGUCAGCGACUUAUAUUCUGUAGCAAGGUUAACCGAAUAGGGGAGCCGAAGGGAAACCGAGUCUUAACUGGGCGUUAAGUUGCAGGGUAUAGACCCGAAACCCGGUGAUCUAGCCAUGGGCAGGUUGAAGGUUGGGUAACACUAACUGGAGGACCGAACCGACUAAUGUUGAAAAAUUAGCGGAUGACUUGUGGCUGGGGGUGAAAGGCCAAUCAAACCGGGAGAUAGCUGGUUCUCCCCGAAAGCUAUUUAGGUAGCGCCUCGUGAAUUCAUCUCCGGGGGUAGAGCACUGUUUCGGCAAGGGGGUCAUCCCGACUUACCAACCCGAUGCAAACUGCGAAUACCGGAGAAUGUUAUCACGGGAGACACACGGCGGGUGCUAACGUCCGUCGUGAAGAGGGAAACAACCCAGACCGCCAGCUAAGGUCCCAAAGUCAUGGUUAAGUGGGAAACGAUGUGGGAAGGCCCAGACAGCCAGGAUGUUGGCUUAGAAGCAGCCAUCAUUUAAAGAAAGCGUAAUAGCUCACUGGUCGAGUCGGCCUGCGCGGAAGAUGUAACGGGGCUAAACCAUGCACCGAAGCUGCGGCAGCGACACUAUGUGUUGUUGGGUAGGGGAGCGUUCUGUAAGCCUGUGAAGGUGUACUGUGAGGUAUGCUGGAGGUAUCAGAAGUGCGAAUGCUGACAUAAGUAACGAUAAAGCGGGUGAAAAGCCCGCUCGCCGGAAGACCAAGGGUUCCUGUCCAACGUUAAUCGGGGCAGGGUGAGUCGACCCCUAAGGCGAGGCCGAAAGGCGUAGUCGAUGGGAAACAGGUUAAUAUUCCUGUACUUGGUGUUACUGCGAAGGGGGGACGGAGAAGGCUAUGUUGGCCGGGCGACGGUUGUCCCGGUUUAAGCGUGUAGGCUGGUUUUCCAGGCAAAUCCGGAAAAUCAAGGCUGAGGCGUGAUGACGAGGCACUACGGUGCUGAAGCGACAAAUGCCCUGCUUCCAGGAAAAGCCUCUAAGCAUCAGGUAACAUCAAAUCGUACCCCAAACCGACACAGGUGGUCAGGUAGAGAAUACCAAGGCGCUUGAGAGAACUCGGGUGAAGGAACUAGGCAAAAUGGUGCCGUAACUUCGGGAGAAGGCACGCUGAUAUGUAGGUGAAGCGACUUGCUCGUGGAGCUGAAAUCAGUCGAAGAUACCAGCUGGCUGCAACUGUUUAUUAAAAACACAGCA